CGCAGGAACUUUGUUGACUCUAGAGAGCCUCGGGCAAAUCGCACAUGCCCGUGGAGGCGACUUUUCAUGUGGAUGUCAUCCAUAUCAACUUUCGAUGCCAGUUUCUGCGCCUACCCUGGUGACCACGGGUAACGGGGAAUAAGGGUUCCAUUCCGUACAGGGACACUGAGAAACGGCUACCACAUUCAAGGAAGGCAGCAAGCGCGCAAAUGACCCACUCCCGACGCGGGAAGGUAGUGAUG